rnacentral:rRNA from 1 species
GAAUAUAAUCAUACUGCCUUGAAUGGACCUGAUCUUAUCCGAUCUCAAAAGCUAAGCAGGGUCAAGCCUGGUAAGGGCUGCAAUGGGAGGUGAUUGCA